rnacentral:rRNA from 1 species
AACCGACUAAUGUUGAAAAAUUAGCGGAUGACUUGUGGCUGGGGGUGAAAGGCCAAUCAAACCGGGAGAUAGCUGGUUCUCCCCGAAAGCUAUUUAGGUAGCGCCUCGUGAAUUCAUCUCCGGGGGUAGAGCACUGUUUCGGCAAGGGGGUCAUCCCGACUUACCAACCCGAUGCAAACUGCGAAUACCGGAGAAUGUUAUCACGGGAGACACACGGCGGGUGCUAACGUCCGUCGUGAAGAGGGAAACAACCCAGACCGCCAGCUAAGGUCCCAAAGUCAUGGUUAAGUGGGAAACGAUGUGGGAAGGCCCAGACAGCCAGGAUGUUGGCUUAGAAGCAGCCAUCAUUUAAAGAAAGCGUAAUAGCUCACUGGUCGAGUCGGCCUGCGCGGAAGAUGUAACGGGGCUAAACCAUGCACCGAAGCUGCGGCAGCGACGCUUAUGCGUUGUUGGGUAGGGGAGCGUUCUGUAAGCCUGCGAAGGUGUGCUGUGAGGCAUGCUGGAGGUAUCAGAAGUGCGAAUGCUGACAUAAGUAACGAUAAAGCGGGUGAAAAGCCCGCUCGCCGGAAGACCAAGGGUUCCUGUCCAACGUUAAUCGGGGCAGGGUGAGUCGACCCCUAAGGCGAGGCCGAAAGGCGUAGUCGAUGGGAAACAGGUUAAUAUUCCUGUACUUGGUGUUACUGCGAAGGGGGGACGGAGAAGGCUAUGUUGGCCGGGCGACGGUUGUCCCGGUUUAAGCGUGUAGGCUGGUUUUCCAGGCAAAUCCGGAAAAUCAAGGCUGAGGCGUGAUGACGAGGCACUACGGUGCUGAAGCAACAAAUGCC